rnacentral:rRNA from 1 species
AUGACGUGGAGAGGGCCUAUGGCGGAGACGUCGCGCAUGUGGGGCGCGAUGUGUGCGAGCGCCGACCGCUCCAGUGAGGCGGUCGUGUUGAAUAUGAGCGCCCGAGCCUUGCAGCUGAAGGUGACGUGGACGCCGGCGCCGAGGAGGCCCGCGGCGAAGGGGAGCAUGGAGUUGAUGUGGCCCUGCAGCGGCCAGGGGAACACCAGCACGUGCACCGGCGCCAUGUCCGUUGGCCUCUCCUCCAUCGCCCGGUACUGCUUCUUCUUACCGCUGCGCGUCAAGUGCGUUCCGUCAAAUCCAACUCAGCAAGCGCCGGAGGUUUCAACUUUUCAUGUUGAUAAAUGGGAGCAUCGCAUUCCAGUUUCUGCUAUACUUUACUCGCUGAAGGGCGAGCAUGACCGCCGGCUCCUCCUUUUUCUUUUCCUUCGAAUCCGCUGA